rnacentral:tRNA from 2 species
CAACAAGAGAUAAACACUCACCUUUGGCUUACAAGACCAACGCUCUCCUUAAGCUAUUAUUGC